AUUGAACGCUGGCGGCAGGCCUAACACAUGCACGUCGAACGAGUGGCGGACGGGUGAGUAAUGUCUGGGAAACGGCCUGAUGGAGGGGGAUAAAUACUGGAAACGGUAGCUAAUACCGCAUACCAUCGGAUGUGCCCCGGUGGGAUUAGCUAGUGGGUGGGGUAACGGCUCCACUAGGCGACGAUCCCUAGCUGGUCUGAGAGGAUGACCAGCCACACUGGAACUGAGACACGGUCCAGACUCCUACGGGAGGCAGCAGUGGGGAAUAUUGCACAAGGGGCGCAAGCCUGAUGCAGCCAUGCCGCGUGUAUGAAGAAGGCCUUCGGGUUGUAAAGCACUUUCAGCGGGGAGGCGUUACCCGCAGAAGAAGCACCGGCUAACUCCGUGCCAGCAGCCGCGGUAAUUC
rnacentral:rRNA from 1 species